UUCCAGACUCCUACGGGAGGCAGCAGUGAGGAAUAUUGGUCAAUGGGCGGGAGCCUGAACCAGCCAUGCCGCGUGAAGGCGAGUGCCCUACGGGCGUUAAACUUCUUUUGUGCGGGAGCAAUAAGGGCCACGCGUGGCCCGAUGAGAGUACCGCACGAAUAAGCAUCGGCUAACUCCGUGCCAGCAGCCGCGGUAAUACGGGGGAUGCGAGCGUUAUCCGGAUUUAUUGGGUUUAAAGGGUGCGCAGGCGGAGGUGCAAGUCAGCGGUCAAAUUGCGGGGCUCAACCCCGUACUGCCGUUGAAACUGCAUCCCUUGAGUGCGCGAGAAGUAUGCGGAAUGCGUGGUGUAGCGGUGAAAUGCAUAGAUAUCGCGCAGAACUCCGAUUGCGAAGGCAGCAUGCCGGCUCCACACUGACGCUGAGGCACGAAAGCGUGGGUAUCGAACAGGAUUAGAUACCCUUGUA
rnacentral:rRNA from 1 species